rnacentral:rRNA from 1 species
AUGAAGAAAGUCUCCGCUGUCCAAGAAGAGACUAAUAUUUUGCAGGAAGCUAUGGAAGAAGAAAUUGAUGAAACUGUGAGCUCAUUGGAUAAAAAAGAUGAUGAGGAGAGUGAAGAACAAAAGGAGGAAGAGCGGAUUAGCUACCCGUGCCCACCUUCUAAUGAUAGUAAACCUCCAACUCAUACAUUAUUUAAUUCCCCUUCGUGCUUACCGAAGGAUGAUUGCUAUGAUGAUUGCUAUGAUCCCUUGAAUUUGUUUGAAAUAUCCCUUUUUGAUGAUACUUGCUAUGCUUGUGGCCAAGAUGCCAAUAUGAAUUAUGCUUAUGGAGAUGAACUUGCUAUAGUUCCUUAUGUUAAACAUGAAAUUGUUUCUAUUGCACCCAUGCAUGAUAGUCCUAUUAUCCAUUUGAAUUCUCCCGACUACACUAUAUCGGAGAAGUUUGUGCUUAUUAAGGAUUAUAUUGAUGGGUUGCCUUUUACCAUUGCACAUGAUGAUUUUGAUGAAUGUAAUAUGCAUGUGCUUGCUGCUCCUACUUGCAAUUAUUAUGAGAGAGGAACUUUAUCUCCACCUCUCUAUGUUUCCAAUACGAUAGAAUUGCAAGAAACUGUUUAUACGAUGCAUUGGCCUUUACUUUGUGCGCAUGAAUUGUUCUUUUAUGACAUGCCGAUGCAUAGGAAGAGAGUUAGACUUCGUUGUUGCUUGAUUUAUGUUACUUUGUGCUCACUACUAAAUUACAAAUCAUUGUUAAUUAAAAUUGGCUUUGAUAUACCUUGGGAUCCAGGUGGAUUCAUUACUUGA